CUAGUUGAUUACGGGGCGCACCAGUGCGCGAAACCCUUUACACCUGCGCGAAAGCCGCCGAUAAGGGGGAUCCCGAGGGCUGAGGGCUGCUAUAGGCCUCGCGUUUUGUGUACCCGCUAAGGAGGUAUGGAAUAAGAGCCUGGGCAAGACCGGUGCCAGCCGCCGCGGUAAUCCCGCAGCUCAAGUGAUGGUCGAUAUUAUUGGGUCUAAAGCGCCCGCUAGCCGGCCAGACAGGUCCGUCGGGAAAUCUGCAUCGCCUUAACGAGCAGGCGUCCGGCGGAAACCGACUGGCCUUGGGACCGGAAGACCCGAGGGGUCUCCGGGGUAGGAGUGAAAUCCGAACCAUGGACGGACCAGUCGGUGGCGAAAGCGCCAUCGGGAAGACGGAUCCGACGGUGAGGGACGAAAGCUAGGGUCUCGAACCGGAAUUAAAUCCCC
rnacentral:rRNA from 1 species